UCGCCUGUUUAACAAAAACAUAGUUUUAUGUUAAUUAAUAUAAGAUUUAACCUGCCCAAUGAUUAUAUUUUAAUGGCCGCAGUACUUUGACUGUGCUAAGGUAGCAUAAUAAAUUGGCUUUUAAUUAAAGUCUCGAAUGAAUGGAUUAAUGUAUAUUCACUGUCUUUAUUAAGUGGUUAUUAAUUUACUUAUUAGGUGAAAAUUCCUGAAUAUAAAUUUAAAAGACGAGAAGACCCUAGGAGUUUAGAGGAGGAUUUUGUUGGGGCAACAUUAUAACAUAUAACUUAUAAUAUAACAUAGUAUAUAACGAGAUAUUUUAAUUAUAAUUAAACUACCCUAGGGAUAACAGCAUAAUUUAUUAUAAUAAGUUUGUGACCUCGAUGUUGGACUAGGGACUUUUGAUAUUAAAUAUAUUUAUUGCUUGUUCUGUUCGANCAUUUGUAUACCUACGUGAUCUGAGUUCAGACCGGA
rnacentral:rRNA from 1 species